UGAGGAAUAUUGGUCAAUGGGCGCAAGCCUGAACCAGCCAUCCCGCGUGCAGGAAGACGGCGCUAUGCGUUGUAAACUGCUUUUCCAGGGGGUGAAUUAUAUCGACGAGUCGGUAUUUGACGGUACUCUGGGAAUAAGCAUCGGCUAACUCCGUGCCAGCAGCCGCGGUAAUACGGAGGAUGCGAGCGUUAUCCGGAUUUAUUGGGUUUAAAGGGUGCGUAGGCGGGAAAAUAAGUCAGUGGUGAAACCCUGCAGCUUAACUGUAGACUUGCCAUUGAUACUGUUAUUCUUGAGUAUGGUCAAGGUAGGCGGAAUGUGUAAUGUAGCGGUGAAAUGCUUAGAUAUUACACAGAACACCGAUUGCGAAGGCAGCUUGCUGGGCCAUUACUGACGCUGAUGCACGAAAGCGUGGGGAUCGAACAGG
rnacentral:rRNA from 1 species